UGAUACCAUAUUCUCUAGAGUCAUUGUACC
rnacentral:piRNA from 1 species